rnacentral:tRNA from 1 species
AUUCAAAUAGCUUAUAAUUAGAGCAUGACACUGAAGAUGUUAAGGAGAUUUUUUAAUUUUUGAAUA